UACGUAGGGGGCGAGCGUUGUCCGGAUUUAUUGGGCGUAAAACGCUUGUAGGCGGCCACCGCGCGUCGGACGUGAAAUCUCCCGGCUCAACUGGGAGGGGUCGUGCGAUACGGCGGGGCUCGAGGCCGGUAGGGGGACGCGGAAUUCCCGGUGUAGUGGUGAAAUGCGUAGAGAUCGGCAGGAACACCCAGGGGGAAACCAGCCGACUGGGCAAGUGCUGACGCUGAGGUGCGAGAGCGUGGGGAGCGAACCGG
rnacentral:rRNA from 1 species